UGCAAGUCGAGGGGCAGCAUAAAUGUAGUUUACUAUAUUGGUGGCGACCGGCGCACGGGUGCGUAACGCGUAUGCAACCUACCUUAUACUGGGGAAUAGCCCGAAGAAAUUCGGAUUAAUGCCCCAUAGUACUGAGACCUCACCUGGGGAUUUAGUUAAAGCUUCGGCGGUAUAAGAUGGGCAUGCGUCCUAUUAGCUAGUUGGUAAGGUAACGGCUUACCAAGGCUACGAUAGGUAGGGGGCCUGAGAGGGUGAUCCCCCACACUGGUACUGAGACACGGACCAGACUCCUACGGGAGGCAGCAGUGAGGAAUAUUGGUCAAUGGGCGCAAGCCUGAACCAGCCAUGCCGCGUGAAGGAUGAAGGUUCUAUGGAUUGUAAACUUCUUUUAUUUGGGAAUAAACUCUCGGACGUGUCCGAGCCUGAAGGUACCAAAUGAAUAAGCACCGGCUAACUCCGUGCCAGCAGCCGCGGUAAUACGGAGGGUGCAAGCGUUAUCCGGAAUCAUUGGGUUUAAAGGGUCCGCAGGCGGUCUUAUAAGUCAGUGGUGAAAUCUCUCAGCUUAACUGAGAAACUGCCAUUGAUACUGUAGGACUUGAAUUUGGUCGAAGUGGGCGGAAUAUGACAUGUAGCGGUGAAAUGCAUAGAUAUGUCAUAGAACACCGAUAGCGAAGGCAGCUCACUAGGCCAACAUUGACGC
rnacentral:rRNA from 1 species